CCAUUCCCCACUCCAGCUAUGUC
rnacentral:miRNA from 1 species